CACGGACCGGUUCGGGCCGGAGCGCGCCGCCCGCCGGGAGGGGUUCUGGUGGAUAAGUUGUGUUUCUUCUCUCCGGGUGCUGUCCGUUCGCAUGUCCGGCCUGCGGCGAAUCAGAGAACAAAAGGACAAGAUAAUAAAGUACAAAAUGGAUCUUUGCAUCAGAAGGAUACCGUUCACGACAAUGACUUUGAGCCCUACCUUUCCGGACAGUCAAACCAGAGUAACAGCUACCCCUCCAUGGCAGACCCCUACCUGUCCAGCUAUUACCCACCAUCCAUCGGAUUCCCCUAUUCCCUCAACGAGGCACCAUGGUCUACAGGAGGGGACCCUCCAAUCCCCUACCUCACCACCUACGGACAGCUCAGUAACGGAGACCACCACUUCGUGCACGAUGCCGUUUUCGGGCAGCCUGGGGGACUGGGGAGCAACAUCUACCAGCACAGGUUCAAUUUUUUCCCUGAAAAUCCUGCCUUUUCAGCCUGGGGGACGAGUGGGUCUCAGGGUCAACAGGCUCAGAGUUCAGCGUAUGGAAACAGCUACACCUACCCGCCGAGCUCCUUGGGUGGCACAAUUGUGGACGGACAGACAGGCUUUCACAGUGAUACUCUCAACAAGGCACCAGGAAUGAACAGCCUGGAGCAGGGCAUGGUGGGCCUGAAGAUUGGGGACGUCACCACCUCUGCGGUCAAGACGGUAGGGUCAGUCGUCAGCAGUGUGGCCAUGACGGGCAUCCUUUCCGGCAAUGGUGGGACCAAUGUGCCCCUGCCGGUAUCAAAGCCGACCUCAUGGGCUGCCAUUGCCAGCAAACCUGCCAAACCACAACCGAAAAUGAAGGCCAAGAGUGGGCCUGCCAUCGGGGGGGCGCUGCCCCCGCCACCUAUUAAACAUAAUAUGGACAUUGGUACUUGGGACAACAAGGGGUCUGUGCCCAAAGCCCCGGCCCCCCAGCAGGUGCCAGCCUCCUCGGUGGCCCCCCAGCCCCAGCCGGCCAUGCAGCCUCUUCCCGCCCAACCUCCCCUUCCAGCCCCACCACAACACACGGCCCCCCAGCAGCUGCCCCAGACCCGCUGGGUUGCCCCUCGCAGCAGAAAUGCGGCGUUUGGGCAGACCGGGGGCCCCAGCAGUGACAGUAACUCCCCUGGGAGCGCCCAGCCCAGCACGACCCUGAGCGCAGAGUCCCACCCCGUCUUAGAAAAACUGAAAGCCGCUCACAGUUACAACCCCAAGGAGUUUGACUGGAACCUGAAGAGCGGGCGCGUGUUCAUCAUCAAGAGUUACUCGGAGGAUGACGUGCACCGCUCUAUCAAGUAUUCGCUCUGGUGUAGCACGGAGCAUGGCAACCGGCGCCUGGACAGUGCCUUCCGUGCCCUGGGCAGCAAGGGGCCUGUCUACCUGCUCUUCAGCGUCAAUGGCAGUGGCCAUUUCUGCGGGGUGGCUGAGAUGAAGUCGCCUGUGGACUACGGCACCAGCGCCGGGGUCUGGUCCCAGGACAAGUGGAAGGGCAAGUUCGACGUGAAGUGGAUCUUCGUGAAGGACGUGCCCAACAGCCAGCUGCGGCACAUCCGACUGGAAAACAACGACAACAAGCCGGUCACCAACUCGCGUGACACCCAAGAGGUACCCCUGGAGAAGGCGCGGCAGGUGCUGCGGAUCAUCGCCUCCUACAGGCACAGCACCUCCAUCUUCGAUGACUUCUCCCACUAUGAGAGGCGCCAGGAGGAGGAGGAGGUGGUGCGCAAGCUUUGCCCAUCUGGAAAUUCAGUGUCCUGAGUGUUUUUUGACAGAAAGGCUUGUAAAUGGGACAUAGAGCACAGUGCUGGUAGCAGUUGGGAAGUUACACAGACUGACCACCUACAAAGCUUUGGAAACAGGAACGGCAGAGUCGAAGCAAGCAGUGAGGGUGCAGCAGGCUCUCGUGCCUCUGACGUGGGGCUGCGCGGCUGAGGGCGUGUGCCUGGUGCUGUAUCCUGGCGGCGGCUCUGCUGGCUUCGUGCAGUGCUCGCCUGCUCACAUCUUUAUGUCCUUUGUAGUUUAUUUUUGCCCAGAUGAAUCUGCAUUCAUUUGUAUUUUUUCUAUGUAUCAUAUAGUAUUGUAGAACUCACUAAUAAAGGACUAUGUUUUUGUCAGCUUAUCAAUCACACUGACCUAACACGAAAUGUAAGUAUCCUUAAAAACAAAAACCUAAUUCAUCCCAAAGAUUUAUUAUUUUGGGGGAACGUCAUGUUCCUAUUCUUAUAUUCACAGUCAUUUAACAUUUUUAUGUGAGACCUUUUGUCUCUCACCCCUUUUGCUUUAAUACUGAACAUAAGACACCAUGAGUUGUCUGCCGUUUUGUGUGUUGUGUUUUAAUUUUGCUUCCCUUCAGGAUGCUGAAGUCCCCAGGCUGAUGACCACCUUGUUUGGCUGCUUUGCCAUUUCUUUUGUUAUCUGUCUGAGAUGCUCAUCUGCCCACUUGAUAAUCUACUAGGCAGAGGAUAAAUUUCAGUUUUUCGAAAAGUUUGGUGAACCUGCUCUCUCCUUGGAGCACCUGCCUCUUCCCUCCGUGUGCACCUGGGGUCUGCUGCGUUCCUGGUCGGAGGUGACCACAGGCCAGGUGCGGAGGGGUUCCUUCUGUGUGCAGACCAUUUUACUUCCCCCUUUUUUUCACUGGAGAGUCCUCGAGCUGUUUCACGUUUUUAUAUCAAUAAUACUGAGCUUUAAACGUGAGAUCUGGUAGUCCAGAGCAGUGUGAUGGAUGAUGCUCCUGGUUGUAAAGUUCAGUGUGUGGGGUCUGUAGUUUCUUUUAUCCUGUUGAAUGGGUAAAACAAAAAAAAUCUUUUAGAAACUUAA